rnacentral:rRNA from 1 species
UACGUAGGGUGCAAGCGUUAAUCGGAAUUACUGGGCGUAAAGCGUGCGCAGGCGGUUUUGUAAGUCUGACGUGAAAUCCCCGGGCUUAACCUGGGAAUUGCGUUGGAGACUGCAAGGCUAGAAUCUGGCAGAGGGGGUAGAAUUCCACGUGUAGCAGUGAAAUGCGUAGAGAUGUGGAGGAACACCGAUGGCGAAGGCAGCCCCCUGGGUCAAGAUUGACGCUCAUGCACGAAAGCGUGGGGAGCAAACAGG